CACGGGCGGCGUGGAUUAGGCAUGCAAGUCGAACGAGAAAGUCCCCUUCGGGGGAUGAGUAGAGUGGCGAACGGGACAGUAACGCGUGGGAAACCUGCCCUACAGUGGGGGAUAACACUUCCAACGAGGUGCUAAUACCGCAUACGACCUCCGGUCGCAUGGCCGGUCGGUGAAAGGUGGCCUCUGCUUGCAAGCUGCCGCUGUUGGAUGGUCCCGCGUCCCAUUAGCUAGUUGGUGAGGUAACGGCUCACCAAGGCUGCGAUGGGUAGGCGGCCUGAGAGGGUGACCCGUCACUGGGACUGAGAUACGGCCCAGACUCCUACGGGAGGCAGCAGUCGAGAAGCUUCGGCAAUGGGCGAAAGCCUGACCGAGCGACGCCGCGUGAGCGAUGAAGGCCCUAGUGGUUGUAAAGCUCUGUCAGAUUGGGACUAAACCUCGGGGGUGAAUACCCUCCGAGACUGAAGGUACCGUCAGAGGAAGCACCGGCUAACUCCGUGCCAGCAGCCGCGGUAAUACGGAGGGUGCGAGCGUUGUUCGGAUUCACUGGGUAUAAAGGGUUCGUAGGCGGUCCUGUAAGUCAGGGGUGAAAGCUGCCGGCUCAACUGGCAAAUUGCCUUUGAAACUGCAGGACUUGAGUCCGGAAGAGGAAGGUGGAAUUCCUGGUGUAGCGGUGAAAUGCGUAAAUAUCAGGAGGAACACCGGUGGCGAAGGCGGCCUUCUGGUCCGGUACUGACGCUGAGGAACGAAAGCUAGGGGAGCAAACGGGAUUAGAUACCCCGGUAGUCCUAGCCGUAAACGAUGGGCACUAGGUGUUGGAGGAGUCUACCCCUUCAGUGCCGUAGCUAAUGCAUUAAGUGCCCCACCUGGGGAGUACGGUCGCAAGGCUGAAACUC
rnacentral:rRNA from 1 species